UCCACACUGAUCUCCAGAGAGGGGACAAAGAAAAAUCAAACAAGUAAAAUCAAGCUAACUAGCAGCCAGCCAAUGCUGUGCACUGCUAACGCUGACCAGCCACACACAAGGAGACUUGGAUUUGUCCUCACUCAUCUUCUCUAGGGCUUUCGAGUUAAGAAAACCUUAAACCUUGGAACCAGUUUGCUCAUUUCUUUCUCAUUUCAGUCAUCACCCUAACCCAUCUCUGAUGAAGAGACAGCACUUCAAAAGCUGGAGAGUAGUUCCUAAGAUAGCUGUGGCCGGAGUGUGAACUUCCUAAUUAACGACCUCCACAAAAGGAUAGCAAAUACAAUGACACUAAAAUGAAUGGAAAAUUCAACUAACCUGUGAAGGAGCAUGUGCUGGAACCAGAAACACAUCAUCUGUGCCGAGCCUUUCAUCUGAAAUUCCAGUUUUGCACGAAAUUAAACCAGCAUAUUGGUGAUGCAACUUUAAGUAAGGUGUGCUGAUGUAUUGUUUUCAAAAGAUGUGAAAAAUCAAAAUGUUCUUCUACUUGAAUCAUUUGACAACAAUAUGAAACACAGCAGGACCAAUGUAACUUGGAAAGAGAUGAAAUCUCUGCUGCCCAUUCCCUGCCUCUCACUACAUCCCCUUCCUGUGCUCCGUAAGAACACAGAUGGUCAGACCUACCGGCUAACCCGAAGACAUGGCUAAUGAGGUAAUGAGAUCCAUUCCACUAAAGUAUGCAGCAGUCGUAGUGACACCGAAGAGUACGACAGCUCAAAACAACAAAAGUGGAAAUCAGGAAUAAGCAGAGGCCUUCAAUAGGUGCACGUUUCCCACAGACAUCCUUUCUAGUAACCUUCAACCCCUCUCCUUCACACUCUGCUAAU